GCGAACGAGAAGGCGCUAGGAGCAAAGGAAAGUGGUUUUUCUAACAAACUCAUAUAAUCAGUUGCCCGACUUACUCCAAUUUGAUUCUUUUCACAUAUUUAGACAUAAUAUAGUACUAUGAAAUGUUUCUGACCCAAAAUAUUACGAAAUAUGAUUGUUUACAUUAAAAUGCAAAAGUUGAUGAAAAAGCAUGAUAAGGUGAAAAAAGUGACAUUUUAUGUCUAGAAAGUCAUUUUUCAUCAAAAGUGCAAUAACAAAACUAAUUCCCAUUCAUCCAGUGUCCCCAUGCACACUUGUGCUCUUUAUCCGCUCAAAACGCUAUAGAGCCAACGAGAAGGCGCUAGGAGCAAAGGAAAGUGGUUUUUCUAACAAACUCAUAUAAUCAGUUGCCCGACUUACUCCAAUUUGAUUCUUUUCACAUAUUUAGACAUAAUAUAGUACUAUGAAAUGUUUCUGACCCAAAAUAUUACGAAAUAUGAUUGUUUACAUUAAAAUGCAAAAGUUGAUGAAAAAGCAUGAUAAGGUGAAAAAAGUGACAUUUUAUGUCUAGAAAGUCUCUUUUCAUCAAAAGUGCAAUAACAAAACUAAUUCCCAUUCAUCCAGUGUCCCCAUGCACACUUGUGCUCUUUAUCCGCUCAAAACGCUAUAGAGCGAGCGAGAAGGCGCUAGGAGCAAAGGAAAGUGGUUUUUCUAACAAACUCAUAUAAUCAUUUGUCCGACUUACUCCAAUUUGAUUCUUUUCACAUAUUUAGACAUAAUAUAGUACUAUGACAUGUUUCUGACCCAAAAUAUUACGAAAUAUGAUUGUUUACAUUAAAAUGCAAAAGUUGAUGAAAAAGCAUGAUAAGGUGAAAAAAGUGACAUUUUAUGUCUAGAAAGUCACUUUUCAUCAAAUGUGCAAUAACAAAACUAGUUCCCAUUCAUCCAGUGUCCCCAUGCACACUUGUGCUCUUUGUCCGCUCAAAACGCUAUACAGCGAUUGAGAAGGCGCUAGGAGCAAAGGAAAGUGAUUUUUCUAACAAACUCAUAUAAUCAAUUGCCCGACCUACUCCAAUAUGAUAUUUUUCACAUAGUUACACAUAAUAUAGUACUAUGAAAUGUUUCUGACCUGAAAUAUUACGAAAUAUGAUUGUUUACAUUAAAAUGUAAAAGUAGCUGAGAAAGUGUGAUAAG
ensembl:lncRNA